rnacentral:rRNA from 1 species
UACAGAGGUCCCGAGCGUUGUUCGGAUUCACUGGGCGUAAAGGGUGCGUAGGUGGCCUAAAAAGUUUGAUGUGAAAGCUCAGGGCUUAACCCUGAAAUGGCAUUGAAUACUGUUGGGCUGGAGGUUUGGAGGGGGGACUGGAAUUCUUGGUGUAGCAGUGAAAUGCGUAGAUAUCAAGAGGAACACCAGUGGCGAAGGCGAGUCCCUGGACAACACCUGACACUGAGGCACGAAAGCCGGGGAGCAAACAGG